GGGUGAGUAACGCGUAAGUAAUCUACCCUGGUAUCUGGGAUAACCAACCGAAAGGUUGGCUAAUACCGGAUACGCUGGUAACAGGAAAGGUGGCCUCUUCAUGAAAGCUACUGUACCAGGAGGAGCUUGCGUACCAUUAGCUAGUUGGUAGGGUAAUGGCCUACCAAGGCGACGAUGGUUAGCGGGUCUGAGAGGAUGAUCCGCCACACUGGAACUGGAACACGGACCAGACUCCUACGGGAGGCAGCAGUGAGGAAUAUUGCGCAAUGGGGGAAACCCUGACGCAGCGACGCCGCGUGGAUGAUGAAGGCCUUCGGGUCGUAAAAUCCUGUCAGAUGGAAAGAAGUGUAUAGAUGUUAAUAGCAUUUAUAUUUGACGGUACCAUCAAAGGAAGCACCGGCUAACUCCGUGCCAGCAGCCGCGGUAAUACGGAGGGUGCAAGCGUUGUUCGGAAUUACUGGGCGUAAAGCGCGCGUAGGCGGUUUUAUAAGUCAGAUGUGAAAGUCCACGGCUCAACCGUGGAAGUGCAUUUGAAACUGUAUUACUUGAGUACUGGAGGGGGUGGUGGAAUUCCCGGUGUAGAGGUGAAAUUCGUAGAUAUCGGGAGGAAUACCGGUGGCGAAGGCGACCACCUGGCCAGAUACUGACGCUGAGGUGCGAAAGCGUG
rnacentral:rRNA from 1 species